rnacentral:rRNA from 1 species
UACGUAGGGUGCAAGCGUUGUCCGGAAUUACUGGGCGUAAAGCGUGCGCAGGCGGUUUUGUAAGUCUGACGUGAAAUCCCCGGGCUCAACCUGGGAAUUGCGUUGGAGACUGCAAGGCUGGAGUCUGGCAGAGGGGGGUAGAAUUCCACGUGUAGCAGUGAAAUGCGUAGAGAUGUGGAGGAACACCGAUGGCGAAGGCAGCCCCCUGGGUCAAGACUGACGCUCAUGCACGAAAGCGUGGGGAGCAAACAGG